AUUGAACGCUGGCGGCAUGCUUUACACAUGCGAGUCGAACGGUAACAGGCCGCAAGGUGCUGACGAGUGGCGAACGGGUGAGUAAUGCAUCGGAACGUGCCCAGUCGUGGGGGAUAACUACUCGAAAGAGUAGCUAAUACCGCAUACGAUCUAUGGAUGAAAGCGGGGGACCGUAAGGCCUCGCGCGAUUGGAGCGGCCGAUGUCAGAUUAGGUAGUUGGUGGGGUAAAGGCUCACCAAGCCAACGAUCUGUGGCUGGUCUGAGAGGACGACCAGCCACACUGGGACUGAGACACGGCCCAGACUCCUACGGGAGGCAGCAGUGGGGAAUUUUGGACAAUGGGCGCAAGCCUGAUCCAGCAAUGCCGCGUGCAGGAAGAAGGCCUUCGGGUUGUAAACUGCUUUUGUACGGAACGAAACGGCUCUGGUUAAUACCCGGGGCUAAUGACGGUACCGUAAGAAUAAGCACCGGCUAACUACGUG
rnacentral:rRNA from 1 species